AACAAUUAAAAAUAAUUCUAAAUUAAAAUAACUCUUUUGCAACAGCUAAAACGGUCGUAAACAGCGGCCAUUUAUGAAACAGUAGUAAUUUGCGACCGUUAAAAAGGAUUUUGUAUUUUUUCUUAAAAAAAAAAAACAAUACGAUAUAAAAGGAUACCCCUUACUCCCAAACCCUAAUCUUCUUCUCACUCACGCCGCUCAUCCCUCCUCUUUCUUUUCUCUCUCCUUCUCUUUCUUUCUUUCUCUUUCUUCUCUUUCCUUUCUCACACUCCUCCAUCUCCUUCUCUUUCCUUCAAUAGUAGAAAAAGUCUCUUUUACCACUACAUAAAUGCUUCGAUGAUAAAGAAAACCGUAGCAAUUUAUUUAGAAUGUUACGGGUCAAUAACUUCACCGUAGCAUAUUUUAGUUAAACGAUAAAAAAAAAAAAAACAGGCCUCACCCCUUUUUUUGUUGUUUCUCUCUCCUCUGUUGCGUUAUUGACUUAUAGGGCGUUUGCUUGGAGGUAUAGAAAUAAGAGGGAUAAGAAGGGAGUAUAAAGAUAAGAGAUUGAUGGGAAGGACAAGGAUAAAUAAUUUUUAUCCUAUGUUUGGUAAAUAUGGGAAACAAAUUAGGGAUAAGUGAUAAAUUUAUAAAAAUACACUUACUAACUUCUACCCUUUCUCUUUACCCUUUCAAUUUCAUUAAAGGUCCUCAGUGUUAGCUCUAGUAGAAAAAGAGAGAUAUUAGAGAGGGCUAAAGUAGAGGACUUUGGUUCUGAAGAGAGUGAGUUACUUAAAGAGUAAAAUGAGCAAGAGUAAAAUAAGGAGAGUUUUGUCUGUGGUUCAGGUUGGUGAAAUCUUGGGAACAUUAAUCAAAACGGCCUCCUCCUUAUCCGCCUUUGAUGAGCUACCAUCGUACUGGACUCCUAAGUGGCCACUGUCCAUAUGUUGUCGUCCUUGCCGAUGUUGCCACUGUUUAUAUGUUGCCAAUGCUGCUGUCCAAAAUUGAUGCUGCUGAUGUUGCUGUCAAAAAUUGAUGUGCUGUUUUCGUUUGUUGCAUAGGCUGCCAGCCUUAUUUGUAAAUAUAUAUUUUACAUUGUAUAAUUAUUAUAAGUUAUAUG